CUGAGUCGCUUAUCUUUCUUAUAGCACCAUUACGUCUAUCAGCAACAUAAAUAUUCCCUUUAAGAUCCACAGCGAAGCUCUUCGGUUUAUUGAAUCGGGCGGAACCUGGUGCCCCAUCUAAGAACCCAGCAACUCCAUCUCCAGAAUACCGCUUAAAAACACUCCCCUGAGAAAUGGGAAAUGAUACGGUGUAGAAGACGCUCUGGAAAGAAUCGAGGACUACGAGAUCGGACAAUCCAGGCCGAGGGAGAACCAUACAUGGAUUUAUUUUCAGCUUGUUGCCGUCAAUCACUGUGGUCACCUUGUAGCCAUCUUCUAGAAUAAGAUCCGCAUGAUCUGAAGCUACAUGGUCUGAAGCCAGAACGAAGAACCCGAGGAAGAAGAAAAGGAGUAGAUGGGAAGCCAUGGGAGAUGAUCAACACUGAAGCAGA
rnacentral:misc_RNA from 1 species